rnacentral:rRNA from 1 species
UACGUAGGGGGCAAGCGUUUGUCCGGAUUUAUUGGGCGUAAAGAGCGUGUAGGCGGUCAGGUAGGUCGGUUGUGAAACUGGAGGCUCAACCUUCAGAGGUCGACCGAAACCCCCUGGCUAGAGUCCGGGAGAGGAGAGUGGAAUUCCUGGUGUAGCGGUGAAAUGCGCAGAUAUCAGGAAGAACACCCGUGGCGAAAGCGGCUCUCUGGAACGGUACUGACGCUGAGACGCGAAAGCGUGGGGAGCGAACAGG